UACGGAGGGUGCAAGCGUUAUCCGGAUUCACUGGGUUUAAAGGGUGCGUAGGCGGUCGUUCAAGUCGCGUGUGAAAGCCCCCGGCUCAACUGGGGAGGGUCACGCGAUACUGAUCGACUCGAAGGCAGGAGAGGGUAGUGGAAUUCCCGGUGUAGUGGUGAAAUGCGUAGAUAUCGGGAGGAACACCAGUGGCGAAGGCGACUACCUGGCCUGUUCUUGACGCUGAGGCGCGAAAGCUAGGGGAGCAAACAGG
rnacentral:rRNA from 1 species